UACAGAGGGUGCGAGCGUUAAUCGGAAUUACUGGGCGUAAAGCGUGCGUAGACGGUUAUUUAAGUCGGGUGUGAAAGCCCCGGGCUCAACCUGGGAAUUGCAUUCGAGACUGAAUAGCUAGGGUACGGUAGAGGGAAGUGGAAUUUCCGGUGUAGCGGUGAAAUGCGUAGAUAUCGGAAGGAACAUCAGUGGCGAAGGCGGCAUCCUGGACCGGUAUUGACGCUGAGGCGCGAAAGCCAGGGGAGCGAACGGG
rnacentral:rRNA from 1 species